CCUACGGGUGGCAGCAGUCGAGAAUCAUUCACAAUGGGGGAAACCCUGAUGGUGCGACGCCGCGUGGGUGAAUGAAGGUCUUCGGAUUGUAAACCCCUGUCAUGUGGGAGCAAAUUAAAAUGAUAGUACCACAAGAGGAAGAGACGGCUAACCCUGUGCCAGCAGCCGCGGUAAUACAGAGGUCUCAAGCGUUGUUCGGAAUCACUGGGCGUAAAGCGUGCGUAGGCUGUUUCGUAAGUCGGGUGGGAAAGGCGCGGGCUCAAACCGCGGACGGCACAUGAUACUGGGAGACUGGAGUAAUGGAGGGGGAAGCGGAAUGCUCGGUGUAGCAGUGAAAUGCGUAGAUA
rnacentral:rRNA from 1 species